rnacentral:rRNA from 1 species
UACGAGGGGGGGCAAGCGUUGUUCGGAAUUAUUGGGCGUAAAGGGUGCGUAGGCGGUUUGAUAAGUUUCAUGUGAAAAUCUUCGGGGCUCAACCCCGAAGCCCUGCAUGGAAAACUGUCGGGCUUGAGUAUGGGGAGAGGUGAGUGGAAUUUCCGGUGUAGCGGUGAAAUGCGUAGAUAUCGGAAGGAACACCUGUGGCGAAAGCGGCUCACUGGACCAUAACUGACGCUGAUGCACGAAAGCUAGGGAGCAAACAGG